UGUAUAACAGAACAUGAAACUAGUACUGCACAGUACAAUCAGCAAAAACUACAGUACGGUAUAAACAAGGUGUACCGUACAAAAACAGACACUGAUGCUCUAAAAACAAGAUGCGCGGAACUGUACACACCCCAAAAGAUGGGUUCUAAAUCCGCAGUCAUUAAACAGGCAGUUUGUUAAACAAGAAAUACCUGUAUUUGAAAUUAUUUCAACUUUGUGUUGAAAAAAGGUCACAGAUACAGAACUGGGGAGGAAUCCGGUAUGUUUUGGCAGGUACUGCCUUGAAGAAAGGAAAAACGGAGCUGCUCCACCAGGCAGAGGCCAUGUCAUCAGAAGCCCUCAGGGCCGCUCCCAGCAGCGCGUGAGAGGAGGGAUCUCUACCCAACACACGCCCUCGGUGCUCACAAGGAACACUUAAACUUGGGGUAGUUACUGGGAACAACAGAUUCAUGGUCUACUCGUACAUCUUUACGUCAAUCUGAUUUUCUUUUACAAGACAGGACAAAAUGAGUAAAUUUGAUCAAUACAUCUAAAAUGUAACUGUUUCACAACAGUUCUGCAGUUAAGAUAGACUGGAGAUCCAGUAUUUGUUUUGCUGACUAAUUUAUUUAAAGAAUGUAAGAUUGGUAAGCUGAAGCUUUCUGGAGGUGGCAGUGGAGUGGGGUGAGGCGGGAGGAGAAAGGAAAGGACAAGCUGGUUAAGAAAGAGCCAAGUGGAGUUAAAACAAGAGCAAAAAUCUAGUAGGAGAGGUCUGGUAGGAUCCCAGUCUACUAAUAAUUUACUGCAAUUUAGAAAGCCAUUAAAAUAGGUUUUGGCUUUCUAGAUCUGCAAAAUUAGAAUACUAUCUGUCUCCCUAAAAAGGGCAUUUUGAGCAAAAGAAAACUGAAAUAUACUCAGAUACAAUUAAAAGUUAUCAUAUAUUGUAUAAACUAUAAGUAGAAUUAUACCAGAAGUAACGGCGUAGGGUGCCAGUGUCUUCCCCUUCUCCCUACCUCUUAGGGGAAUGCGCAGGCGGGUGCUUUGAGUAAGGCAAGGGACUGACCAUGGACGUUGUCUGAGAUCUGUGCCACGAGCUCCUAAAUGACGCAGGAACUGUUUAGUGACAGCUUACAGCUCUCUAUUCUAGCCACGGGCGUCCGGCAAAAAACAAUACAAAAUGUCUCUUCAUGGAUUUUUACAUGCUAGCUACAAGUCACAAGGUGGACUAAGUAUUGUCACUAAUACUGAACCUGUAUGUCAACAUAUAAUGAUGAAACUCAUGCAUUUAGUGCUCAGGUAAAAUUUUUUUAAAAUUUAAUAUGUUACUUUCAGGUAUUCUGACGAAAAUAAUUUCUAACCUUAUAGUUUCUGUGCUUUUUCGAAUUUUAAGGUUGGAAUUUCGGAACUGCAAAGACGAAUUCGUGUUCAAGUGGAUACACGAUAUUCUGCUUUGAGUAAACAAUGCUAUCUAUUUCCAGCUGUCCCUACUUUUCGCUAACACGUUAACUGACAAAUUUGUUAUUCGGCUCCUUCCCUUUCUUACAGUUUAAUAAACUGAGUGAGACGGAGACAGUGGGAAGUGGGGAUGACGGAAAAUGGCAGGCGGGGGAAGAAGAUGAGCAGCUCUGUGUUACAGUCUAUGUUUUCAGUACGCUACUUCAAUGUUAGAUUUAACAAAAUACCUACUAGUUUGGACUAAAUCUAGAACUAAGGACCGAACUCUAACUACACUUUAUGGUACGCAGUACAGCUGUCGUUUAGGGACUGGGAAAGGAGAGACGGUUUAAGGCCAGAUAAAGGUGAGAACAUUAUCAGCACCCAAGCUUACCUCCACUGGUGUGGGCAGGGGACCCACAGCAGCUCUCUGAGCUUUGUCUCUUACCGUUUUCAGAACUGGCGGUUGGAAACACGAGGGCUGCUCUUUAGUAAGUAACCACGUAGAGCAGAGCAGAGAGGCGGGGACCCGGUUAGCACAGGACUGGUGGGCAGCACCAUGUGUGGUGCCGCCCAGCUGGGCAUCCCUCGAUUCUCUACUGACGUCCCUGGCUGAGAAACUUUACUCCAGUACUAAAGGAAACACAAGCUUAUGCUCAGAUCACUUCAGCAAAACUGCCUUUGUCUUCUCACCUGACUUACGAGGCCUGUCAGCUUCACAGCUUCCCUAGAGAAUGUGGGUUCCACACUACAAGAGCGCACGACACUACUCUACCUGUACAGCAUCACUUCUCCGAGGGGAAGGCCAGCCAAGAAGUAUUAGGAACUGAUCACAGGUUUAUCCUAAACGGCAACACAAUUACAGCUAUUUUACUAAGAACAGAGUUGAUCUGGAGACCUGGGCACCAGCACCUCGAAGAGGUAAGAGAGUAUUGGAGCAGGUACGGCUCAGCCAACGAGUGCUUCCACAGCGUCACGCAUUUCCAGCCCUCUCUCUCACCAAGCGGGAGUGCACCAGGGCUGAUUCAGCAGGAAUUAUUUCAGAACGCCUUUGCUCUUCUUGCUACGUCACAUCCUAGUCACUGCCUGAGUCUCACGGGGAGUUACUGCUGCAACAGGAGGUGAGCGUGUUUCUUCCUGGCACUGAAGAUGCUGUCAGUGGGAGAGAGUGAGGUAAUGCUGCCACUGUAGCAGAAUGGCGACGCAGAUCACUAAACUUCCCCGGUUUACGCAUCAAUAAAAUCAGUCUGACAGCCUGACACGCAUACACUCCAGGGUGUUACAACGAUCCAGUGAAAUGUGCAGAGGAACGCUACGAGCCCCAAGUAUGCCACUCACAGAGGAAACACUGCUGAAGUCCUGUGGGGCGUGUGUGUGUGUGUGUGUAAAAGGCCGCACACUGUUCGUCGGCACAUGCCCUUGUGUGCUCUGAGCUGAAAGGGCUGGCUGCUUCCAGGCUCAGGCGCUGCAGCACCAGCAGUGCCCACGUGCACCAGAACCCGGUGCGGAGACCUCAGCCCCCUUCUGCUCUCUCCCCUCUGCUUCCUGAACCUGACGACAGGCCCUCCUUCUCCUGGACCACACACUAAAAUAAAAUCAAAGGAUAUAAAUGCUCACUACUAAAAAAGAAAACCAUGGGGAACUUUACCUAAAAAUGCAGCCAUAUCAAACAAUUACAAUUUUAGACCAUAUUCCAGAACAUGUAUGUAACAACACACCCGGCGACAAAGGAGAGUCAUCAAAACGUUUUAUACCUCUGCCUCCAUUUUGCUACUGAGUGACUGAAACUGGAAAAGCGACCCAGGCUGUGUAAGCACCGAUUCUGUAUUUCUACACAAAGAAUUGAUUAGUGAACUGCAUUUUAUGUAUUUCAUUUACAGUACUGACAAAGAUACAGGGUAAGCUUCCCCAACCGGAAAUUCUACACUUCUCCAAAUCUGAACACUUAGCUUUGAUAGGACACAAAUGGAUACCUGACCUCAUCUGACCAGCUGUAGCCAAAACUCAGAUGCACCAAAAACCCAGCAUGAAAUUAUGUGUCCACAGGGCAAUGAAACACACCUGAACUCUGUGCUAAGACUUCAGCCUUACCCCCAGACUAUCUUAGCAUCCUGAAGAAAUCCACACCCCCAAGUUCAUCUGGUCACAAGCACUUCAGACAAGGGAUACUCAAACUGCACAGUACAGUGGCUCAAGCUGCUGGACGGGACAGGCGUGCAUGUGUCACCAGUGGCUCAAGCCGGCAGAAGUACGUUCACCUCAGGAGACACACGGGCUCUCACCAACCGGAACACAGGCCAGUAGCUCCGUUCUGCAGGAGCGGGUCUCCAUCACUCGCAGACUAGUGCCAACUACUGUGCAUACUUCAAAUCAAUGUAUCAGGAAAACAAACCAUCAACAACAACAAUAAAUGAAGUAUCCACAAAAACAAAACCUGUGCUACACCAAAUUUCAAGGACAGGCCACCUUCCGCCCACGGGAACAGAGCGGCAGCAGAGUCCAAGCUCUGAGAGUGACGAGAGGGUGAAUGAGACUAGAAGGGAGAAGGUGCUCGCAGGGUGGGCAACAGGAAGCGCUCAGAGGACACACUCAGCACACCGUCAGCUACGAAGGGCAGGAGCACAGAUCCAGACAGCGGGCACACUGGAGUGGCACGCUGAAAUGGCCAGCCUGUGCACGUAAGUAAGGCUCCGGCAGCAGAAAGACUAGGACAAGGCUUACUGUGGUUGGAAACAAUUAGGAAAAUGAGGAAACAGAAUCAAAGGGAGCGACAUAGGAGCCAACACACUCUCCAACAUGUACACCACAGAUUUUAUGGUUACAGUAAGUACAGAAAUGUAUCAGGAAUGUGUAGAAGAGUAUCAGAAGACUAAUACAAAAUGAGAUUUUAAAAAAGGGAGAAAAUAACUUUUGGCUUCACAACAAGGCUAAGAAGAAAAAUCACUUUCUACUAGACUGUUCUAGCACCAACCAUCAAGGAUGCCACGAUUUUAUGAAAUUCAAGUCAUAAAAAUAUCCU